rnacentral:ncRNA from 1 species
GUCCCUUCGGCGCAGGCUGGGGCUGAGGGGACGGGGCGGAAGUAAAGGCUUCAAUCAGCAGUGGUAUCCGUCAGACUAAGCCUCCACUGCACAUCAAUCGACUAGGGAGA